AGGUAGCUCAGUGGUAGAGCAAAGGAUUGAAAAUCCUUGGGCCGGUGGUUCAAUUCCACCUCU
rnacentral:tRNA from 1 species